rnacentral:rRNA from 1 species
CACGUAGGGCGCAAGCGUUGUCCGGAAUUAUUGGGCGUAAAGAGCUCGUAGGCGGUCUGUUACGUCUGCUGUGAAAACUCGGGGCUUAACUCCGGGCCUGCAGUGGGUACGGGCAGACUAGAGUGCGGUAGGGGAGACUGGAAUUCCUGGUGUAGCGGUGAAAUGCGCAGAUAUCAGGAGGAACACCGGUGGCGAAGGCGGGUCUCUGGGCCGUAACUGACGCUGAGGAGCGAAAGCGUGGGGAGCGAACAGG